GUAACAGUAAAGUCUAAAUGAAUGAGGAGGAAGUUCAGCCACCUACUGAGAGAACUGCGCGCGCACCGGCUGUAUCCCAAACCGUACAGCAACCUUCAUCGUGUCGACAGUGGACGUCACCGAGGGCAGGAACGCAAAAGAAGAAGAAGGAGCAGAAGAAGAAGAAAGUACACACUGCUGUAUGAAUGAUCUUUUAAAAUAGCCAGUUACACUGUAAAACCUUUCAAAUGUAUUUUUGUUUUACAAAACUUGAGUUUUAAGCAUGCGAAAUCCGUAACAUACUAAUUUAUACCAUAUACCACAAAAAUGGUAACAGCAAAUAAAAGGAUUCAAACAAAACAGGUGGUUGAAUUCUUAAGUGCUUGUAUCAUCGUAUUAAAAAAAGUAUUACAAAUUAUACCAUUCUGAACAUUGUGGUAUACCUUUGUCAUUGCACAUAUUGUGAAAUAAUACAUCACAUCCCGGUAGUGAAAUAUUGUUUCCCGUAUGCUUUGUCAGAGGAAAUGUGUCCAUACUGCUAUGUACUUCUCUGCCUGUGCUCUGACCCUUGCUAGAGUCGCUGCCAAAAACACAAAUCUCAAAAUAGCUCAUAACGGUUUUAAUUCAACAUACACUGAUCCAUAUUAUACAUUCUGUCAAGCUUUUAAGACAAUAUUUGAAAGCCAUCCAGGGAUGAUUUCCCUCAGGGACUCAGUUA